CAAUUAGCGAUUCAAGUUCAUCUCCAAGCCACCUAUCGGAAGAAACUGUAAUAUCGGCUUAAGUGUUCGAGGAGUUAUAAGAGUUGUGUUCUAGAGUUUCAUCAUUUAUCUAAUAUUUAUUU